UCUUCGUAGGUGAACCUGCGGAGGGAUCAUUACUGAGUGAGGGCUUCGGUCCGUCCUCCAACCCUUUGUGAACCAAACUUGUUGCUUCGGGGGCGACCCUGCCGCCUCGGCGGUGCGGCGCCCCCGGAGGCCAUUAAACACUGCAUCAUUGCGUCGGAGUUAAAGUAAAUUAAACAAAACUUUCAGCUACGGAUCUCUUGGUUCCAGCAUCGAUGAAGAACGCAGC
rnacentral:misc_RNA from 1 species